UUACGUUGGCUAUAGAUGAUUUGGAGCUAGUAGUGGGCUGCACUAUUGACCUUGCUCUAAGAGCAAGUUCAAUAGUAUAGCCAGCUACUAGCUCCAAUUCAUCUAUAGCCA
rnacentral:pre_miRNA from 1 species